rnacentral:lncRNA from 1 species
GACUCAAUUUAUUAUUUGUAACAUUAAUUUAAAACCAAAACCAAACUUUUACUUGUCUAUAUGAGCAUGAUUUUAAUUGGAAACUGGUGGUGAGAGGCCAGCAAAGACAUGGAGCAACUCCCCGUUGUCGAUGUGCCUUGCAGGAUCGGAAAAGGCAUAAAGGAAGAACUCCAUGAAAUCUAAGUCCUUGAAAAGCCGAGGAUGUUGGUCAUCUAUAAACUCUUUGGGUGUCUUGAUUAUAGUACCCUCAUUUGGAAUGACGAAAGCUGCUAUAGAGUAUCGAUCUUUGUCUCCGCUCAUCAUCACUCUGUGAUUCACUGAUUUCAAUCUCCCAUUGCUCCAAGCCUUCAAUUUUUAAAAUCAAUAUCAAUAAGUAUUUUUUGAUAAAUCUUCACUUUCAACAUCAAUAAAUUAAUUUCUCUGUAUUUUUUUUAUCAUGAGCAAGGUAAAAGGGUUAUUCAAAAUUUUGAACCCAAAAUCUUAUGUUAAUAUCAUAAAGUAUUUUAUGAUCAUUAUUCACGUUAAAACUUUUUAAUCUAAUUGAAGAGCAAGAAGAAGAGUUGUCCAUGAUUUUUAUCCAAGACUUAAUCAAACUCGGGACUUGCAAACAAUGCCAUGGGACAAGCCCCGCCCCAAGAAAAAGGCAAAAAUUCAUUCUAACUUAAUUCUAACCCUUAUGUUUUAUUCACAUAGAUUAUUUAUGUUAAAUUUUGAAUAAAUUAAAUAAUAAAUAUAUAUAUACCUUGAGGGGAUCUCCAACCACAAAUACAAAGGAAGAAGGAGAUAAAUUAGUUAGCUUGAUCCAUUGACCAUCAUUGACCUCAAUUUCCAGUCCUGAAAUUUGAUCCUCACAAAUGAGUGUGCUUACUGGUUUAUCAGUAUGAGCAAAGAGUCCUCUUUCAUACUCUCCUGGUGGAGGGGCCAUAUAUUUCAUCAUCCGCACCAACGUUGUGUAGUU